rnacentral:tRNA from 1 species
GUGCUUGAAGGCCCCAGGUGGGCCCCCUCACUGAGAAUGAGAAGACCAGAGGGGGGUUCAAUUCCCCCCAAGCACC